GAGUUGCGGACAGGGUGGGAGGGCGCCGCGUACCGCCCGGGGGUUAAUAUUUGUUCAAGUGGCGAUCGACCAUAGUCAGUAUGUCACUCUCUCUCCUUCAUAGUAGCCGAUGCUUGGAAGUCGGAGGAAAUCCACGUGGACAUUCGAGAAACAGGCAAAGAGAGACUUGUUUGUUUACCUUUUCGGGACGAGAUGAAA
ensembl:ncRNA C50B8.7 ncRNA